AGUAUUGAUUGCCAUCUAGUCCUGAUUGCAGAGUUAAGCUCCAGCCCCAAUCCUGUACUGCUGAAGCAGCUGAUCAAGGUCUUCAGGGUUACCACAAACUGCCAGGCAGGUGUGUGGACAGGCUGGAGAUAAACUCUGCAGGAUGUUGGUCCUCCAGGACACCACUGAUAUGCAGAUAAAGAGCCACCAGGAACAGGUCGCUGCAUCUUUUGUCAUGUAGAUGCUGGAACAAAAAGCAGCCAGGCCACAGCAUCUAAAAUGGAAACUUCUAUUAAAGUGGCUCCGUAACGUAAGAGACUUGGGACGGUGGAAGGAGCAGAAGAACCAAAAGAUCAGAGAUCAGGCAGAGCUCUACUGGUGCCCCUUAGGGGAUUGAUUUUUCUAUAAUUAUCUAUAAUAUCUACUUAAUGUUCUGAUGUAGUUAUAACUGGUCAUUGUUCUGUUUUAUAAAUCUAUUCAAUAUAUUCUACUGUUCAAUAGUUUGGGGUCAGAAAGUUUUUUUUUUCUUUAAGAAAUUACUUGUAUUCGGCAAGGGUGCAUUAAAUUGAUAAAAAAACGACAGUAAAAACGUUUACAUUGUUGGACAAAAAUCCUAUUUAAAAAUAAAAUGCU